GUAGGGAAUAUUCCACAAUGAACGAAAGUUUGAUGGAGCGACACAGCGUGCAGGAUGAAGGUCCUAUGGAUUGUAAACUGCUGUGGUAAGGGAAGAAAAAGUAGCUUAGGAAAUGAAGUUACAUUGACGGUACCUUAUUAGAAAGCAACGGCUAACUAUGUGCCAGCAGCCGCGGUAAUACAUAGGUUGCAAGCGUUAUCCGGAAUUAUUGGGCGUAAAGCAUCUGUAGGUUGUUUGUUAAGUCUGGCGUCAAAUUUUGGGGCUCAACCCCAAAUCGCGUUGGAUACUGGCAGACUAGAGUUAUGUAGAGGUUAGCAGAAUUCCUUGUGAAGCGGUGAAAUGCGUAGAUAUAAGGAAGAAUAUCAAUAUGGCGAAGGCAGCUAACUGGACAUACACUGACACUGAGAGAUGAAAGCGUGGGGAGCAAACAGGA
rnacentral:rRNA from 1 species